CCUACGGGUGGCAGCAGUGAGGAAUAUUGGUCAAUGGGCGUGAGACUGAACCAGCCAAGUCGCGUGAGGGAUGAAGGUUCUAUGGAUCGUAAACCUCUUUUAUGAGGGAAUAAAGUGUGGGACGUGUCCUGUUUUGUAUGUACCUUAUGAAUAAGGAUCGGCUAACUCCGUGCCAGCAGCCGCGGUAAUACGGAGGAUCCGAGCGUUAUCCGGAUUUAUUGGGUUUAAAGGGUGCGUAGGCGGCCUUUUAAGUCAGCGGUGAAAGUAUGGGGCUCAACCAUAGCAUCACCGUUGAAACUGGGAGGCUUGAGUAGGAUUGAGGCAGGCGGAAUGCGUGGUGUAGCGGUGAAAUGCUUAGAUAUCACGCAGAACCCCGAUUGCGAAGGCAGCCUGCCAAGCCAUGACUGACGCUGAGGCACGAAAGCGUGGGGAUCAAACAGGAUUAGAUACCCGUGUAGUC
rnacentral:rRNA from 1 species